CCUCCGGGCGGCAGCAGUGGGGAAUAUUGGACAAUGGGCGAAAGCCUGAUCCAGCCAUGCCGCGUGAAUGAUGAAGGUCUUAGGAUUGUAAAAUUCUUUCACCGGGGACGAUAAUGACGGUACCCGGAGAAGAAGCCCCGGCUAACUUCGUGCCAGCAGCCGCGGUAAUACGAAGGGGGCUAGCGUUGCUCGGAAUUACUGGGCGUAAAGGGAGCGUAGGCGGAGAUUUAAGUCAGGGGUGAAAUCCCGGGGAUAAAUAACGGAAUUGACAUUGAUACUGGGUGUAUUGAGUAUGAGAGAGGUGUGUGGAACUCCGAGUGUAGAGGUGAAAUUCGUAGAUAUUGGGAAGAACACCAGUGGCGAAGGCGACACACUGGCUCAUUACUGACGCUGAGGCUCGAAAGCGUGGGGAGCAAACAGGAUUAGAUACCCUUGUAGUC
rnacentral:rRNA from 1 species